rfam:Microscilla marina ATCC 23134 1099589004157, whole genome shotgun sequence.
GCGGAUGUGACUUAAAGGUAAAGUGUCAGGUUGAAGCCCUGAAGAUGAAGGUUCGAGUCCUUCCAUUCGCA